rnacentral:pre_miRNA from 1 species
UAAUUUGUCUAGGGUAAAUCCUUAUCUACUUGUGGCAUAUCUAUACCUGACUAUUCAUAAUCAUUUAUUAUCUCAAGCAUGACUACAUCAUUCAUCCCAUGUUAGAGAGAACUCGUCCUCAAGUUUUACUCCUCUUCUAAAU